rnacentral:rRNA from 1 species
CUUUACUAUAGCUUGACACUGAACAUUGAGCCUUGAUGUGUAGGAUAGGUGGGAGGCUUUGAAGUGUGGACGCCAGUCUGCAUGGAGCCGACCUUGAAAUACCACCCUUUAAUGUUUGAUGUUCUAACGUUGACCCGUAAUCCGGGUUGCGGACAGUGUCUGGUGGGUAGUUUGACUGGGGCGGUCUCCUCCUAAAGAGUAACGGAGGAGCACGAAGGUUGGCUAAUCCUGGUCGGACAUCAGGAGGUUAGUGCAAUGGCAUAAGCCAGCUUGACUGCGAGCGUGACGGCGCGAGCAGGUGCGAAAGCAGGUCAUAGUGAUCCGGUGGUUCUGAAUGGAAGGGCCAUCGCUCAACGGAUAAAAGGUACUCCGGGGAUAACAGGCUGAUACCGCCCAAGAGUUCAUAUCGACGGCGGUGUUUGGCACCUCGAUGUCGGCUCAUCACAUCCUGGGGCUGAAGUAGGUCCCAAGGGUAUGGCUGUUCGCCAUUUAAAGUGGUACGCGAGCUGGGUUUAGAACGUCGUGAGACAGUUCGGUCCCUAUCUGCCGUGGGCGCUGGAGAACUGAGGGGGGCUGCUCCUAGUACGAGAGGACCGGAGUGGACGCAUCACUGGUGUUCGGGUUGUCAUGCCAAUGGCACUGCCCGGUAGCUAAAUGCGGAAGAGAUAAGUGCUGAAAGCAUCUAAGCACGAAACUUGCC